GUGCUCGCUUCUGCAGCACAUUUACUAAAAUUGGAACGAUACAGAGAUUGCAUGGCCCCUCCGCAAGGAUGACCCAAGAUGCUUCAUUCAUUAGAUUU
rnacentral:snRNA from 1 species